GAUUAUGGCUCAGGACGAACGCUGGCGGCGUGCCUAACACAUGCAAGUCGAGCGAGGAGAUCCUCGGGAUGAUCCUAGCGGCGGACGGGUGAGUAACACGUGGGCAACCUGCCUCAUAGAGAGGAAUAGCCUUCCGAAAGGGAGAUUAAUACCUCAUAACAUUGCAGUUUCGCAUGGAACAGCAAUUAAAGGAGUAAUCCGCUAUGAGAUGGGCCCGCGGCGCAUUAGCUAGUUGGUGAGGUAACGGCUCACCAAGGCGACGAUGCGUAGCCGACCUGAGAGGGUGAUCGGCCACAUUGGGACUGAGACACGGCCCAGACUCCUACGGGAGGCAGCAGUGGGGAAUAUUGCACAAUGGGGGAAACCCUGAUGCAAGCAACGCCGCGUGAGUGAUGACGGUCUUCGGGUUGUAAAGCUCUGUCUUCAGGGACGAUAAUGACGGUACCUGAGGAGGAAGCCACGGCUAACUACGUGCCAGCAGCCGC
rnacentral:rRNA from 1 species